UAUUUUAACGAUUUAUGCAAUCAAAAUGAUUUUAGAAUUUCAUGUUGUAAAGAAUUUGAAUUGCGAAAAUACAUUUGAAUUUGGAAAACAAUCCUAAUCAGUUUUUGAUUCAAACACAUAAACUCAAUUAUAAUCCUAGCCCAAAUAACAAAGCCCAAAAUAAAUAACCCCAAAUAAACCCAUAACCCUUUCUCCUAUUCAACUUCACGUGAAACAAAAAUAAAAAGAGAAACAAAAGAAAACUCUCAAACCCUUGCUUCACCAUUCACGUGAAAACGCACAAGACUCUCUGCUUCAGCCACCGCCGCUCCUCCUUGCUGCUAUCCCUCACGCCGCCGUUCCUCUCCCCCGCCUUCACUUUCGUUGCUGCAGCCUCCCUCGCCGUCGGACCACCAUCACGCCACUGUUUCGUUCGCAGCAACCACCACCGCGCCACCAGCCGCGCCCAUAACGAUUGUUCGCCGCCGCACCACCAACAACCAUCGCGCGGACGCUGACACCCUCCGCCGUACUCCUCCGACCAGCGUCGCCGCCCACUGUUGCCGCGCCGCCCUGCCUGCCGGCCAGCAGCUUCCCUCUCCUCUCUUUUUUUGGCGGAGAAUUCUUUGUAGGCGACUUUUGAAUUAUUAAAGUGGUCUUGCAGUUUGUUUACACAAGUCUCUAAGGAUCAAUAAGCAUUGUCCAUCUGCAGGUUUGAAGAUGUUGCAUCAUUGGGAUCGGGAAUAGAGAGCUUGUAUUUAGUUUUGAUUUGCUAAGUUAACUUGGGUUUGUUAAUUGGGACUUUAAACUCGUCGUACUAUUUAUAUUUCCUUAUUUUCGUUGGUUGAUUUUUGGG